rnacentral:rRNA from 1 species
CAGCAGCCGCGGUAAUACGUAGGUGGCAAGCGUUGUCCGGAAUUAUUGGGCGUAAAGGGCUUGCAGGCGGUUUCUUAAGUCUGAUGUGAAAGCCCCCGGCUCAACCGGGGAGGGUCAUUGGAAACUGGGAAACUUGAGUGCAGAAGAGGAGAGUGGAAUUCCACGUGUAGCGGUGAAAUGCGUAGAGAUGGGGAGGAACACCAGUGGCGAAGGCGACUCUCUGGUCUGUAACUGACGCUGAGGAGCGAAAGCGUGGGGAGCGAACAGGAUUAGAUACCCCAGUAGUCCCUGUCUCUUAUAC